UACGGAGGAUGCGAGCGUUAUCCGGAUUUAUUGGGUUUAAAGGGUGCGCAGGCGGGCUGUUAAGCCGGCGGUAAAAAUUCAGGGCUCAACCCUGUCGAGCCGUCGGAACUGGCAGUCUUGAGUGGGCGAGAAGUAUGCGGAAUGCGUGGUGUAGCGGUGAAAUGCAUAGAUAUCACGCAGAACGCCGAUUGCGAAGGCAGCAUACCGGCGCCCGACUGACGCUGAGGCACGAAAGCGUGGGGAUC
rnacentral:rRNA from 1 species